AAAGCGCGGCUGGCUUUCCAUUGGUCCUCGUCCAACUAUCUUCGUGAAGUCGUAGCCUGUAGCUCGGUACGGCAGCUGUGCGGACGUUCCGGGAAGGAUUGGCGCCAAAAUAAAAUCAAUCCUUCCAGACAGAGAGUGUGUGCGGGUGUAUGUACCGCUUGGCUUACCGGCACCCGGCUGCACGCCAUCCUGCGGUGUCACCCGGCUCACCCAUGCACGCUGUACUGCAUUAGUGCCUGGCUCACCCAUGCAUUAGUAAGAAGUUUAAAGAAAACCAGCGCUGGCUGUUUUGAUUGAAAAAAACAAAUGGACAGUUUGUUUAAAAAAAAUCGUAUUUAUUCACCAUUAAACAUUUAAAAGAUCUUAUAAAAGAAAAAUAUGUACUUGAAUUAAGACAAUACUAAAAUUGAAUAAUGCCAUCAGAAGAAGAGUGAAUAUCUCUCAGCCAGUCCACUCAAAUUGCUUCUAUAUGCAAAUAAUCACUCGACUAGGACCGCCUCCAAUAAAAAUAAAGACAGCACAAAGAUUGAAAGCGAAAAGGAGAGAAAAAAAGAGGAGGAGUGACGGUGAAAAUAUACCUUUAUGUGAAAGACAACAUAUUGACAACAUUGGGAGAUCGAACCAGAUGGGAUCAGGCCUUAAAGUUAUUACGAAGAGUCUGUCAUCACCUCGUCAUUAAAGUGGUUGGCACCCCUAGGACUAUAUAACAUAACGUGAACACUGGUCCAUAUCAUGUAUGCUGACUCCAUAUUUUGGUUAUAGUGAGCGCUAAUUGUGGUUGUGUUUACAUUAUUGUAUUAAUUGUUUUUAAAUUGGGCGCUUAUUCAGCAGAUGCAGUGUACAACAUUCUAAUGUUGACCUUUGUCAAAGCUUUGCAAAUGGCAAUCCAUUACCAUAAGCAAAACCACAAUAGAGGAAUUUACAUGUAAAUGUACAUUUGGAUCAGGAAGCAGUUGGCUUCCUGAUGAACGGGAUCUCAGUGGUCAAUAUACUGAUGUCGGGAUCCCGAAGUAGGACGCAAUCCCGGCGCCAUGAUACCACCGCCGCAUGGGAUACCAGUGUCACAAUACCAACAGGCGGCAUCCCGAUUGUCCUGACACUGGGACGCACUGGUGUCCUGCCGCAGGCUUGGGAGCAAAAAUGGAUCAAAGAAGACUCUUGUUUGGGUGCACUCUUGUUCAAGUUAUAAUGAUAUUAUUAAAACAUAACGUUUAUUAUGCCUGGUUAAAAAAAGUUCAGUAUUCACUCAUUCUCCCCAUGGAGUUGGUACAAAAAAGUGAAAGAAAAAA